AACGAACGCUGGCAGCAUGCCUAACACAUGCAAGUCGAACGAGACCUUCGGGUCUAGUGGCGCACGGGUGCGUAACGCGUGGGAACCUGCCCUUAGGUUCGGAAUAACUCCCCGAAAGGGGUGCUAAUACCGGAUAAUGUCUUCGGACCAAAGAUUUAUCGCCUUUGGAUGGGCCCGCGUUGGAUUAGCUAGUUGGUAGGGUAAAAGCCUACCAAGGCGACGAUCCAUAGCUGGUCUGAGAGGAUGAUCAGCCACACUGGGACUGAGACACGGCCCAGACUCCUACGGGAGGCAGCAGUGGGGAAUAUUGGACGAUGGGCGAAAGCCUGAUCCAGCACUGCCGCGUGAGUGAUGAAGGCCUUAGGGUUGUAAAGCUCUUUUACCCGGGAUGAUAAUGACAGUACCGGGAGAAUAAGCUCCGGCUAACUCCGUG
rnacentral:rRNA from 1 species